rnacentral:lncRNA from 1 species
UUUUUCUUUUGAGAGAAAUAGUAAGCCAAUUUAUGAAAGUAUUCCUUGUAAAUUGAGAGAUACAUUGUAGUGAGAUCCACCUAAGGAUGAAGUUGUUGUAUUCCCAUUAUCAUUAUAAUGGUAGUUUAAGAGGCCUAAGGGUCCCGUGGUUUUUUUCCUUUCUCACAUUGAUAAUAUUUUCCAUGCUAAAAUUCGUUUUGUCUCAUUGCGUUUAUAUUUAAC